GAAAUGCGAUAAGUAAUGUGCAUUGCAGAAUUAAGUGAAUCAUCGAAUCUUUGAACGCACCUUGCGCUCCUUGGUAUUCCUUGGAGCAUGCCUGUUUGAGUAUCAUGAAAUCUUCAAAGUAAAUCUUUUGUUAACUCAAUUGGUUUCUACUUUGGUAUUGGAGGUCUUUGCAGCUUCACACCUGCUCCUCUUUGUUCAUUAGCUGGAUCUCAGUGUUAUGCUUGGUUCCACUCGGCGUGAUAAGUUAUCUAUCGCUGAGGACACUGUAAAAGGUGGCCAAGGUAAAUGCAGAUGAACCGCUUCUAAUAGUCCAUUGACUUGGACAAUACUUUUAUGAUCUGAUCUCAAAUCAGGUAGGACUACCCGCUGAACUUAAGC
rnacentral:misc_RNA from 1 species